GUUACUGGGAGGGGAAGGGGCUAAUCAUUGUUCAAGCUUGUUCCAGUGUGGAGGAUUCAGCAGAGAAAGUCCUUGUAAGGGCUAGAGAUCCCAGGACUGAAUGUCGUCCAGUCCCUGGGAGUGGAUAGAGCUAGUCCUCUAUUCGGCUCCAGGAAGGAGAGGUUCCAGGACCCCAGUCAAGGCACGACGACUGGGGGCAGAAGCACUGAGGUUUUUCCCCUGUUAAAGCUAGGAAGCGGUCCUUUGGUGGAGGUACCCAACCGGGGUACAGGGAGCUCUGUUACAGUAGUCAAACUGUUUUUAGAACAUUUUAGGCAAUAAGCAAGCUCUGCAGUGGAGAGAUUAGCUCAGGAUAGCUAAUGGAAGCAUUGUCUUUGGAGUGGCUACAUUCUAAAUGUUGU